GUUGGAGGGGUUGUCCUCCUCAUCCUGUCCCGCCGGCUCCGCAACCAAGAUGAAGCUCAAAGCAGCUGGUAAGAACUGACCCAACCUGCCGUGAGAAGACCCAGAUCCCCCCCACCCAUCCUGACUCCCCACCUUUAGGACCUCUGGGCCAGCAGCGGGGAGUUCAGACUAGACACACUCGUUGCCUGCUGUGGGAACCCAGCGAUUGCUGAGGAGAUGGUGGCUGUCCCUACCUCCUCAAUGGGGACUGGGAGAAACCCCCCAUCCCUUCCUGCCUGGCUGGGCUCACCCCCAGCCCCAGGACAUCCGUGCCUUGUCUUGUCCCCGUGACAAUAAAGGUCUAUUUUCUGGA